UGCUCGGGCCAGCAGCCACCGCCAGCCCCGUCGCCGCCGCCGCCCGCGCCCGCCGCCCCCCGGGCCCCCACUAGCGGCCGCCUCCGCCUCCCACUCCGGCCACGCUCCUCCGGCCCCCCACCCCGAGCAGGGUCUGGGGGGCUCGGCCCUCUUGCCCCAGGGAGCCAAGAAGAAGCGGGGAGUCCCGUCCCCCCAGUGGCGCGUCCAGUCCCCAGCCUCUGUGGUCCCAGGAGAGACCCCACCUCUCAGUUCUUUCCCGGCCCUAUCGGAGACCCCCCUCGGCCCUGCCAUCCUGCUCACGGCCGCUCUCCAGGCUCUGUCAGCCCCCCGAGAACCGGCUCCCCCCUACCCCCGCCUUCCCUCUCCGGGGCUCCCCCUCCCCCAU
rnacentral:lncRNA from 10 species